rnacentral:rRNA from 1 species
GAUGAACGCUGGCGGCGUGCCUAAUACAUGCAAGUCGAGCGAACGGACGAGAAGCUUGCUUCUCUGAUGUUAGCGGCGGACGGGUGAGUAACACGUGGAUAACCUACCUAUAAGACUGGGAUAACUUCGGGAAACCGGAGCUAAUACCGGAUAAUAUUUUGAACCGCAUGGUUCAAAAGUGAAAGACGGUCUUGCUGUCACUUAUAGAUGGAUCCGCGCUGCAUUAGCUAGUUGGUAAGGUAACGGCUUACCAAGGCAACGAUGCAUAGCCGACCUGAGAGAGUGAGCGGCCACACUGGAACUGGGACACGGUCCAGACUCCUACGGGAGGCAGCAGUAGGGAAUCUUCCGCAAUGGGCGAAAGCCUGACGGAGCAACGCCGCGUGAGUGAUGAAGGUCUUCGGAUCGUAAAACUCUGUUAUUAGGGAAGAACAUAUGUGUAAGUAACUGUGCACAUCUUGACGGUACCUAAUCAGAAAGCCACGGCUAACUACGUG